rnacentral:lncRNA from 1 species
GGGAUUUCAAAUUAGCUAAGUGGCUGAAAACUGUAAACCAGACUUAAUGAGCCAUCCUAGGAUACAGUUGUUGCCAGCUGUUUUGUUGAGCUUCGCCCUUCUGACUGAGUUGUACAGCAGCGCUCCAUACUUCCGACGCCAAUGCCAGUAGAACUGACUGACUACCUAAACAUGAGCCAAGCAAGGACAACAACAAGAACAACAACAGCAGCAGCAACAGCAGCAGCAGCAGCAGCAGCAGCAGCAGCAACAACAACAACAACAACAGACAUGCUGAUGUGAACAAGGCCUGCUCCUGAGAAAUUUAGAUAUAACUGGAAACGAGUGGUGGCGACCAGAAGGUGCAUUCGAUUCACACCAGCACUGCACAUUAGCCAAGACUGCUCCUGAUACCCACCCAAGGCAACACCGUCCCAUACGCACUACUGGGGGAGUACCCAUCUGUGGCUUGGACGGCCAUAGGGAAAACAGGGCCUGGAAGAACCGAAGGGCCCCUCAACAUGAGCCAAAGCCCACGAAGGCUGGAAGAGCUCCCGGUGCAAGCCACAUACCUUGUAAGCAAAUCCGGGUACUGGGUCUCUUCAAACAGGCUUUCCAUUUCCUCGACCUGCCACUGUGCGAAGUGGAAUGGCGGUCCACGGCGACGACGGCGAACAUGGCGGCGAGGGGGGCGGUAGCGGUACGGCCCCGGAAUCUGAAUAGCAGCGGCAGCAGGAACAGUUGGAGGAGCGGCAGCAGCAGCCACCGCAGCCACCGAGGGAGCUGCCGCCUCCUCAGGAUCUGAAGUAUCCUCGUCGCUGGUGCUCGAGUCGUCAUCACUCUCGUCGGAGGAGUCGGAGGAGUCGCUCUCACUCUCCGAGUCGCUCUCACUCUCCGAGUCGCUCUCACUCUCCUUGACAGUGGCACAGCCUAUGGCUCCUCCACUGUCGUGGCUGCUCGCCACUGCUGCCUGCGCCACCUCCACAGCCCCUGGGGCCUCCUCGGUUGAGGUGGCGGCCAUGGCCCCUGCCUGGGCUUCAGCAUUUGUUUCCUCCUUGCACUCCACAAUGUAGUAAUUGUGGUCAAAAGGGACCCCGUGGGCCAUGACUAGAACCGGGCCGAAGCCACCAACAGCUUCGGGGCCCUAGGAAAAAAAGACCUCGAAGCCCAGCGUCUGUUACCGGUCCAGUCCAGACGGAAGCCAGCCGAAAGUGAGGACCUGGAUGAGCGAUGACGACAACCGGGAACUUGUGCGCAUGCUCCACACGUUCUCCAUGUGUAUCACGGUCGACGUCACCACACUCCCCUCAAGAUGGGUGCUAGUGGCUCUUUUUUCAGUGAUGGACUGCCAGUGGCUUUCUGCCCACUUGUUGCAAUAGAUAGUGUUUGUUUAGUCGUACAAGUGACGGGGUACGGCCCAAAACAUGUGGGACCUGCGGACAGAUUGUGAGGGGGGAGGGGCAUGUGGCUGCUUUAACUUGCACCCUUGCAUGCACAUACACGCAUACAUGGGCUGCCUAUCCUUCAUGGAUUAUAGGGAUUACCACGACCAGUAGACUGUGCAGAAAUGCAAAAUAAUUUGGAAAUAUAGUAUGGGAAAAAGAUAAGAACACAUACUGACCACAGAAUUCUUGUGUGAACAUCUAGAAAUUUCUUUUGGCCUCACCCUCCACUGGCUGCUCAGAGCAUGGGCUGAAAACUAAGCGGACACGAUCAGCUUAGUGUUUGUUUAGUCAUACAAGUAACAGGGGUAUGGCCCAAAACAUGUGGGACCUGCGGAUGGAUUGUGAGGGGGGAGGGGCGUGUGGCUGCUUUAACUUGCACCCUUGCAUGCACAUACGCGCAUACAUGGGCUGCCUAUCCUUCAUGGAUUAUAGGGAUUACCAUGACCAGUAGAAUGUGCAGAAAUGCAAAAUAAUUUGGAAAUAUAGUAUGGGAGAAAGGUAAGAACACAUACUGACCACAGGAUUCUUGUGUGAACAUCUAGAAAUUUCUUUUGGCCUCACCCUCUACUGGCUGCUCAGAGCAUGGGCUGAAAACUAAGCAGACACGAUCUGCUUAGUGGCUGUUAGUUCAAGAGUCCCUAUUAGUACACUGAGUGCUAGCUAGCCAUUGUUCUUUAAGUACAACCAAGAUCUUGAGACUGGGUCUGAUCUAGUUAAUGACACUGUCAAAAAACAAACAGCUGGGAAGUGGUGCUGUAUGGCUUUAAUCACAGCACUUGGGAGGCAGAGGCAGGCAGGUCUCUGUGAGUUAGAGGCCAGCCUGGUCUACAGAUCUAGUUUCAGGACAGCCAUGGCCACACACUGAAAUUCUGCCUUGGAAAACUAAAACCCAACCAACCAAACAAACAAAAAACAAGCAACAACAACAAAAGACACACACCACUACCCACUCCAAAAAUUUAAAUGAUCUGCAUAAUAAAAUACAGUAAAUACAUAAAAUAAAAUACCCCAGAUUUUCAUAAUU